UACGAAGGGGGCUAGCGUUGCUCGGAAUGACUGGGCGUAAAGGGCGCGCAGGCGGCCAUGUCAGCCAGGCGUGAAAGUCCUGGGCUUAACCUGGGGACGGCGCUUGAUACGUGCGGGCUUGAGUGGGGAAGAGGGUCGUGGAAUUCCCAGUGUAGAGGUGAAAUUCGUAGAUAUUGGGAAGAACACCGGUGGCGAAGGCGGCGACCUGGUCCUUUUACUGACGCUGAGGCGCGAAAGCGUGGGGAGCAAACAGG
rnacentral:rRNA from 1 species